CACGUAGGGGGCAAGCGUUGUCCGGAAUCAUUGGGCGUAAAGAGCGUGUAGGCGGCUCGGUAAGUCUGCUGUGAAAGUCCAGGGCUCAACCCUGGAAUGCCGGUGGAAACUGUCGGGCUCGAGUCCGGAAGAGGCGAGUGGAAUUCCUGGUGUAGCGGUGAAAUGCGCAGAUAUCAGGAGGAACACCAUGGCGAAGGCAGCUCGCUGGGACGGUACUGACGCUGAGACGCGAAACGUGGGGGAGCAAACAGG
rnacentral:rRNA from 1 species